rnacentral:tRNA from 1 species
GUCAGGAUGGCCGAGCGGUCCAGCAGGCUGCGUUAAGGUCGCAGUCUCCACUGGAGGCGUGGGUUCAAAUCCCACUUCUGACA